rnacentral:rRNA from 1 species
UACGAAGGGGGCUAGCGUUGCUCGGAAUGACUGGGCGUAAAGGGCGCGUAGGCGGAUGGCACAGUCAGAUGUGAAAUUCCCGGGCUUAACCUGGGGGCUGCAUUUGAUACGUGUUGUCUUGAGUUCGGAAGAGGGUCGUGGAAUUCCCAGUGUAGAGGUGAAAUUCGUAGAUAUUGGGAAGAGCACCGGUGGCGAAGGCGGCGACCUGGUCCGACACUGACGCUGAGGCGCGAAAGCGUGGGGAGCAAACAGG